rnacentral:rRNA from 1 species
GAUGAACGCUGGCGGCGUGCCUAAUACAUGCAAGUCGAGCGAAUGGAUUAAGAGCUUGCUCUUAUGAAGUUAGCGGCGGACGGGUGAGUAACACGUGGGUAACCUGCCCAUAAGACUGGGAUAACUCCGGGAAACCGGGGCUAAUACCGGAUAACAUUUUGAACCGCAUGGUUCGAAAUUGAAAGGCGGCUUCGGCUGUCACUUAUGGGUGGACCCGCGUCGCAUUAGCUAGUUGGUGAGGUAACGGCUCACCAAGGCAACGAUGCGUAGCCGACCUGGGAGGGUGUGCGGCCACACUGGGACUGAGACACGGCCCAGACUCCUACGGGAGGCAGCAGUAGGGAAUCUUCCGCAAUGGACGAAAGUCUGACGGAGCAACGCCGCGUGAGUGAUGAAGGCUUUCGGGUCGUAAAACUCUGUUGUUAGGGAAGAACAAGUGCUAGUUGAAUAAGCUGACACCUUGACGGUACCUAACCAGAAAGCCACGGCUAACUACGUGCCAGCCGCCGCUGUAA